rnacentral:lncRNA from 7 species
AGUUUGUAACAAAAGUGCAUGCACUUUAAAAGUGCACUGAAGGUGUUAGCUCGGUGAUCCUUACUACAUCUCUACAUGGUAGCAAUUUCUCUCUGUUUACUCAUUUUGCACAGUAAGAGAGAGAUUUAAUUUUUGUCAUCUCAUGGCCUCGCACAGGAUGAGGUUACAGAUCCUGGAUCGCUUUAAAAUGGAAAAGCCUCAAGCAGCGUUCAGCAACGUUCUCUCUCUUUUAUUAUUUACUGGAAUGGUCACUGUGAGAUCACUGCCUUUGAAGAAGAGUUAGGACAAAUCAUGAGGUAAAAUGACUAAGGCAAUCAAGUGAGCUGGAGUUUGUCAGCAAAACUGCAAGCAGGAUCCAGAGAAAAUCCUGCUUUAAAACCAAAGGAAAUCCAGAUUAAACAGGAGAAUGUGGAGGAAGCACAAUGACAGCACAUGAAAUGUUAGAGAAGAGUGCUGAAGACCCUGCAAUCACUCUGGAAGAGACUUCCGUAUCUGCUUCUGCAGACUGUCUGGGACCGUUAAAUGACCAAAUAUUUAUCUGUGGUUGAAAAAAUGACAUAUUUCUUCUUGUUUGCUAUCUGACCAUGUUGUUUGUACAAGCACCCUCAGAGGUGUGCAGAAGUAUACAUACAGCUGCAAGGAUAUCACUAAGGUAAACAGACAUUUGAAGAACUUACAAUCAAAUGCUUAACCUGGUGUAACAGUGACGCCAUCGUCUUCAUGCAUGUUAACAAAUCUCAAAUCAAGAGAUUUGAUUUCAAUUGUUUUGCUCAUGAUUGCAGCUGGAAAGAAGCACUAGUGUCUGCAAGAUAAAGAGAGCAAUCAAGUUCCACUUCUAGGUCCUAGGAUGAAAAAAAAAAAGGCUCCUUCAAAGAGGAAGCCUAUAACUGAUAUACCACUCUGUCUACUGAGCAUGACAGUGAAAAAGAAAGUAUUUCAUUGCACCAAGAAGAGGACAACUCCUUCUGAAACUGUUAUCCUCAGAUGGGAACUACUGUGCAAAAAUUCAUCACAUUAUUUGAAAACGAGUAACUUGCACAAGUGUAUGCCCUGAAGCAAAACAUGAAUAUAUGUAUGCUACACAUAAUUGGCAUGGUAAUGUUAUCCACUGAAAUAUCUAGGUCUCUACAUCAAGCUAAACAUCACAGAGCUAUAAUAAACAAGUAAAUAAAGAAGUGGUGAUUAGCAAACUGGAUUUAUGUUCUUAAGUACCUGAUGUGCUGUAAGUCAGUUCAUACUCACAUCCUAAAGCAGUUUGUGAAAUGUAUAUCUAUUUAAAUGACAUUUACAAAACCUGUUUAUGUUUCAACAUGAUAAAUUCAUCUUCAAUUACUUGGAAAAAUAGGGCGAGUAUUUAUAACCUGUUGUUCUUUUUUCAUAAAAGAAAAACCCAUGCCCAGGCAUUCCUAGUAAUUCUUACUUACAGUAUGACAUCCACAGUGUUCAUCAGAGUACAGUGCAGUGCUGUGCACCUGUAGGAAUUGUUGCUUAAUUUCACAGCUUAGGUGCCCAAAUUAAAUUGCACUGAUUACCUCUUCGACUCCUAUAUUAAAAAUUACCUUUGGUGGUUUUAAUAUAGAUACUCAGGAAGGUUUAAAUUUUAAAUGGAUGACCACGGGUUAAGCUUUAUUCCCUGUCUUAUUAGGAAUUAUACUAAAAAAGCUCUAACAGACUCCCUGUGUAUUUGCAAAAAUCUUUCUGGUGACACCUUAUGACAUCUUGUCAAAAUCCUCACUUUAUUCUUGGUAGUUUUACAUUAAGUUGCUGCCUGCUGGAAAUAAGUUUUAUCACAGCAGGAGCCUAAACCAACAUUUAUUUCAGAAAUCCCAAGAAAACAUUCAGAACUAUCACAGUUAUAGAAAUAUGUACCCCACAUCUUCUGUGGGUGGAUAGAUACAUGCCUGCAUCCGGAAGGCUGGAAACAGGUUUCAGCCCCUGACUGCGGAUGGCUCUGCUCAGAAAGUUCAACUACAACAGUCUGCAGCCAUCUGCUUGUUGCAAUCAGAUCCACUUCAAAGUGUCACAAUCUGACCUUUGUUAUGGCAACAAUAACUUGCAACGGAUGCUCAAGCCAGCUGGUCUGCAGAGAUCCUAGAUCGCCUCAGUGAGUUUAGAAUGACCUUUUGCAGUGCAGACACCAGAAGUCAAAGAGGUGAGCUAUCAUGUUAUCACAGAGAUCUCAGCAUGCUCUAAGGAGCUUUUUUCAGCCUAGGACUGAAAAAAGGGACUCCCUUUAGUGAAUCCUUGAGUCAGCUUUUUACUUCUGUGGUAGAGCCCAAAUGCAUUCUCCUUUCUCAGUUUAUACUUCACAUUUAAUAGAAAUUGUUUUUAUAACAAACAUUUAUGUAAAACCUCUCCAAUAAACUAGGUAGGGCUUCCUGUUAUUCUUUCACUGCUGCUUAGAUUUGUGGUGCUACUCUGAGGUGUUUGUAUUAUUGCUGUAAAGAAGUAGUAAAACAAACUAU